AAUACAUUUAAAUGAACUAAAAUGAAAAAUUAAUUUUAAUGAAUAAAAAUCAAAAUUAAACAUAAUACUAAACUUAAAAAUGUAAAUGUAAACGAAAUAAACAAAAACAUAACAAAAAUCAAAACUAAUCUAACGUAAUAAAAAGGUAUAUCGGUGGAGCUCAGAGCAUUUCAAGUCGGGACGACGACAGGAUAUCUAGACGAUGACAAAGCCUCUUCCAUGCAGUGUGAUCUCCGACAGGAUCUGGGUUUCUACAGCUACGGGGGCUUCCUUCUUCAUCCUUCUAAGAUAUGGUCUUCAAAUUGUGAUGGGGCUAGGUUUCUACAACUACUGGAUCUGGGAUUUUACAGAACCUCCUUCUUGGAUCUGGUCUUCAAACGGAGGUGGGUUUGGUUGUGGUGAGGCUUACGAAGGUGGGGCUUUCUCCUUCUCAUAUUUGGGCAUCGAAUGGAGGUGAAUCCAUUCUCCAGUUUCCAACUAGAUCAAAUAGCAGGGGGUGUCCUUACCCAAAUGUGGCUUCAGAUCUGAUAUAUUUUUAUUCAUUUGUUCUUGGCAAAUCUGAGUUUUAUUGUAUGGGGAUUCCUUUGUUGGAUUGAUAAUUGUGGGUUUGUUUGAUGUAAUUUGUGAUGAUGAGGAACAAAUAAAGAAGAUAAAUUGUUUGA